CGUGAUAACAAUAAUAAUAACAAUAACUGUAGCCGAUAAAACCGCAAUGGUCCGCAGACUCGUGUUUAUUAUCGGCCGUUUUAAUUGCGCCAUUCGGGAACGCCUCCGACGUGCCCCUAAAUAAUAAAAACGGAAAAAUUAAAGCUCUGCUCGUAAAAUUCAAACGCGAAGACGAAAAACAAAAACGAGUGGACUCUUAAGGAAAUUUCGGAAUAAAGAGGCCCGGAUAUGCAAAAUAUUUGCAACUGAUCGCAAUGUUUGAUGCACAUUAUGCGUCCA